rnacentral:rRNA from 1 species
CCUACGUGCGGCAGCAGUGAGGAAUAUUGGUCAAUGGGCGGAAGCCUGAACCAGCCAAGUCGCGUGAGGGAUUAAGGCCCUGCGGGUCGUAAACCUCUUUUGCCGGGGAGCAGUGGUCCGGACGCGUCCGGACCGGGAGAGUACCCGGAGAAAAAGCAUCGGCUAACUCCGUGCCAGCAGCCGCGGUAAUACGGAGGAUGCGAGCGUUAUCCGGAUUUAUUGGGUUUAAAGGGUGCGCAGGCGGUCGGUUAAGUCAGCGGUCAAAGCCCGGGGCUCAACCCCGGCCCGCCGUUGAAACUGGCAGUCUCGAGUUGGAGAGAAGUAUGCGGAAUGCGCGGUGUAGCGGUGAAAUGCAUAGAUAUCGCGCAGAACUCCGAUUGCGAAGGCAGCAUGCCGGCUCCACACUGACGCUGAGGCACGAAAGCGUGGGUAUCGAACAGGAUUAGAUACCCCUGUAGUC